GGUUUUGCCUUGUCCUAAUCCUGACUUACCCUUAAUGAGCUCGGUGACAUCAGCAGAGCAAUCAGCAAGCCUCUUCAGAUGGAAGCUUUGGCUGAACUUCUGGAAGACAACUUAAUAACUGAGCAGUCAGCACAACACAGGCUAUUAAAACCUGCAUUGAGGAAUAUCCAGUCUCUCAAGGACUUUAAUACAUGGAAAGGCAUUGCUCCCCUGGAGAGCUAUGUCAUAACCUGGACCUACCAUGGCUGAGGGACUGAGUCAGAUGAUUGAUCUCUUCAAACUGGAGCUGGACAGGGAAAAACCUGAAGACUUUCCAGUGGCUAUAUGAAUGCGGGAGAAUUACUGCACCAUCCAGUGAUUUCCAUGUACUUCAGCUCCUGCAGUCAGGUUGUUGGGCAGGGUCUUAGUUUUGCUACUUAGAAGAAAAAAGCUCUGCAGACUUGCAGGGGAAUUUCAUCUCAGAAACACUCAACCUGAAGACCAGCAGA